GCUUACGGCCAUACCAACCUGGCUAUGCCCGAUCUCGUCUGAUCUCGGAAGCUAAGCAGGUUUGGGCCUGGUUAGUACUUGGAUGGGAGACUGCCUGUGAAUACCAGGUGCUGUAAGCU
rnacentral:rRNA from 1 species